CAAAUCAAAAGAUCGACAACAUUCGACGAGUGCAGAUCACCAGCUAAAAGAAAACCAGCUGAGACGUCAGAAAAGUGCGCAGAUUUUCACGUAACGCCUUCAAGAUUUUCCGUGCGGUUCCCGAAACAACUAAACAUUAUUAACAAACAUUCAACAAAUUUGUGGUGUCAGUGACUCUUGAACGCACGAAAAAAUCCCCAAACACACAUCCAAACGUGACUGUAUAAUCAGCCAAGAAACCCAACAACUGGUGGUGAUAAUAAAAGAACUUACAACAACAGCGGCGAGAACCAGUAUAAAGUUCAAUAUCGCGUUGUUUUAAAUUAAACAAAGGAGAAUCGACAGCAGCAGCAGCAGCAACAAAAAGCCAGCUCGGUUUUGUCAUUCAAGUAUUUUUGGUCAAUACACGGCAUUCGAAAUGGCAGCCUACUUGGAUCCCACUGGCCAGUACUGAAGAAGCUAUACCUAUACGAAGACAGCAAAACAUCGUAAUCGCAGACCUCUUUAGCGAACCCAAUAAAUCACAGAUCUUCGCCAUGGCCGCCUAUCUGGAUCCCACUGGUCAGUACUGAAGAAGGAGCAAGCCAGAAGAAGCAGCUGUAUUUUGCGUUUCCAGCCGAAAGUGAACGAAAACAGUCUCAAAAUGUCGCACGACUUGGACCCCACUGGCACCUACUAAGGUUCUACCUCGAGAGCUCCACUUAGCCAAGCAUAGAAGGCUACUGCCAGGAGAAAUCCUAUCCCUACUUCAAGAGCCCCAAAAAUACAAUACAAUCCUGCAAAAUGCUGGAUCCCACUGGAACCUAUCGGCGACCCCGCGACGCGCAGGACUCCCGCCAAAAGAGGCGACAGGACUGCCUGGAUCCAACCGGGCAGUACUAGGCACUGAUCCCCCGACUUUCGAGGACCCCACAAAGCCCGUGCCUUAUCCAAAACUCUGGGCAUGAUUGGGGGAGCGCGCUGGUUGCGCGUUCGUGGCCGCGAGGAGACUUCCAGCUGCCGGCGGAGGAGAAAGCUGGGGAUGGGGGCUUCCCCGGGAGCGGAGCCCUGCGAUGCAGACUUUUGUAUUUAUGUAGUUUUUGCGUAGCCUACCCAUACCUAUUAUAUUAAUUAUUUAUUAUUAUCAUUCUAUUUAAAUUAAAUACUGUUCAUUGCUGUUCACAAAACACCGAAACGCGCACACACAUAUCCUAUAUCCUAUAUCGUAUCACACAUACACCAUAUAUGUUAUAUAUAAAUACUAUACACUUGUAAUUGCUUCUUCAAAGUGGAAAAGAUUACGCAAAGAGUAUUACGUUUAGUGUCAUAUUUCCCGAGAAAAUCUUCGUUUGUUUAAAUUAUCAUUUAUUUAUUGCCAACGAUUUGUAAUGUUCUUCUCUUCUCUCUCGUUGAGAGCAAGGAAAACCAUUCGGAGCGAGAAAUUUUGUUUAGAUCUUAAGCGUUUUAAGCUAUUUAUAUGUCCACACCUUCGACCGACAUCCAGAGACCCCAAACACACACCUCUCACACCCAUUUAAAUAUAAUAUUAAAUGAAAACCAUA